GCUUGUUGUGGCCGGCCUAUUGGGUCUCGGCGCUGGGACCGGCCAGGGGUGCGAAAGGCGGAUCCUUUCCACCCGUCUCUGCGGUUGGCGUAGCGGUGGGGCUCGGGGUACUUGGUGUCAAGGUCUUGGAUUCUGGGACGGUGGCCCUGGUGGUGGUGGCACGAUGCUCAUGGGCAGAGCUCGUGCCUCGGUGUUGCCCGGAUGCCACGGCCGUGUGGGCGGCGUGGUAGCCGGGUGUGGCGUUCGGUGGAGGUGAGUGUUGGCCGGGGUGAAAACCUACUCUAUCUUCGGACGGACCGGCGACGACGAAGAUCGCUCCCUUCUUGAAGGCGUCGUCGCGGCUAUCAUUGCCCGUCGUGUUACUCCAAAGAAACUCUGAUCUUCGGAUCAGGCGGUGACGGCGCUCCGGUGUCGUAUCCUCCCUGAAGGCACCGCCUUGAAGCCCACGGUUCGUCAUAUGCGGCUUCACUUCUUCGGAUGAAACCCCCGGCGGCUCUUGUAGUGCUAGGGAGUGUGUUGCUACGCUCAAUGCCUAUAUAUCCUGUCUUGGGUGUGUGUGCGUUUGUGAUGGGUGAGUGUGGUUGUACCGGGCACUGCUGGUCUAUACUUUAUAUAUAAAGCGGGGCGAAAGCCUUUUUCGGUAGUGUUGGCCAGUUACUAAUUAAAAAAAAACAGGUGAGCUCAUCUUCUUACCCAAAUCUACCGCGACCAUGGAUUCGGGGACGAAGGGCGGCGGAGGUGGGACUUUGACGGCGCAUGUACCCAGGGAGGACGGCGGUCGGAUGCGGGACCAGCUGCGGCUGGUCGGGCACGCCGCUGCGGAGCAGAUGGCGCGGAGGCGGAGAAUCGCCGCUCGUACGCCGCCUGAGAGAGGCCAUCACAAGCCAUCGGCUGUUCAACUUUGUUCCUUUCCUCAAAGGCUGAGACGUGCAACUCACAAAACUCCAAAAACAUGUGCUGUAAUGUCUUUGUUUCUUAGAGCUGAACCACACUGCACUUCAGGUAUCAGUGCAAAUGCUUUAGCCUAAGAAACAGAGUGGUAUAAAUAUUUACAAACUCAGAUAGCCACUAGUCCACCCACAGGCAUUCUGCACACAAACACAAUAGUAUCAUUACAUCGGAGGGAGCAACAAAAGCUCUCUGCCAGCAAUGGCGGAGGUUGGGGGCAUGCCUGUGAGUGCUGUGGGGAAACAACUCGCUAGCAAGCUUAUGAAGGAGGAGAUUGCUCUGCUGUGGGGCUUCCAGGACGAAGUGGAAGGCUUGGAGGAGAAAAUGAAAGAUCUGGAGGCCGUGACGCAUGAUGCUGACGAUAGGCUGCGCCGAGGAGAAAUAGAUGGGGCAGCAGUUGGGCGGUGGCUCACUAAAUUUAAGUCCGUCGCCUACGAGGUUGAGGAUGUCCUCAAUGAGUUUGAUGCCAAUGAGCUCAUCAAGAAGACCCAAUCAAACCUACGGCGCAUUUCACCAUGCUCCACCUACGGCGCUCCUCCGACCACCGGCUGAUUGUGUACUCCGAUGCCGACUGGGCAUCUAAUGGAAGUCACGGUGUGUUCCAUAAUUCGAAUGUCUCUGCCUGAAGCAUGCAAAAUACUAUGGCCUUGAAGGAACUCUACAUCUUGGACUGCUCACAAGAUUUCUCACAACCGGACAGUUACGUUAAAUAAUGCUGAGUUUGCCGCGAAGCUCUGGCAGUUGGGGACUAUUGAUUCAGAAGGGUAACAGGGGAACGAUUUAGGAGAGGAAAAAGAAGGCUGGGAUUGAUGGCUGCAACAUGGAGAGCUAAAAGAAACAAACAGCCAGAGGCGAUUGGAACUCUGUGUCUGUGAAGCUGGAGUCCCGAGCAUUAUUUUUCUUUUAUCUGGAGAAGACUGUAAUGCUCUCGUGUCCUUUGUCAAUACAAUUCUGGGGCUCUCCUAUAAUGCCAUGGGAAAGAGUGAUAGGAUUCAGAACCAGAGGCUUCCGCCAUAUACAGUAUUUCGUUAAUGGGGCAGCACCAGCGGGAGUCGAGAUCCACCACCACGAGCUCUAGUUCAUCUGUUGAUCGGAGUGUAGGUCUGAUCCAGUGGCAACAACCAGUGGAGGAGGCCUGAACAAGCCCACGUAUAUCUGAAAAUCCAGUCAUAUUUGCUAACUUCCACAUCUGCAUUGCGAGGAAGUUUUACUCAUUGUUGGAGAGGGUAGGAUGCGGUUGAAGAGUGAAGCCGGUAAUAGCAGAGCAUGGAGAGGCAAGUUAAAUUUCUGCUGGCAUUAGCACCUGCAAAGUUGUGAUGAGGAAGGAAGGAACCUUGCGGGAGAAAGUUUCAGAACAUCCACGCUUUUCUCUGCAAAUUUUUAGUAUCAAUUGAACUCGACUGACUUUGUUCUGAAAAGAUGCAACAUAGUGAACUGUUGACCGCCACAUUCCGUAGGUUCAUAGUGAACUGCUGAACCUUCCAAUAUACUGAGCUUUGUUAACCAAUAAAUAGUUUGCGUUGUUCUGGCUAAUUUCAAUCUGUAUGCUGAACUUUAAGUAUCUUCUCGGCUUCAAAAGCAAAGAUGGAUAAUUCUUCUCACAGUAUGCUCUCUUUGGCAGCAACAGCUGAGGGUGAGCACCGUGGAUUUUCAACAUGGGAAGAUGGAAUGGAAUACUGCUUCUGAAAAGCAGGAUUGAAACCACCCGCUUCUCUAUAUGUUGGUUUGUACGGAGAGAGCAAGUGAAAUCGUCAACACAUUCUCAUCAAGAGCUGAUAAACAGGGACAGAGACUGGAUAACUCAUCGAUGUUGCGACAACAUUCUCUGCGCUUGUACAGGUGGGAUGGCACAACUGUUGGUCUGGUCAGCUAAGACAGCAGUCAGACUGAGUCGUGACGGGAGUCAAAGGCGAAGGUCGCAACAUGGGUCGCCUGCAUGAUGAUGUAAUACAACAGGUCGCAUCUCCCACCCUAAAACAAGGAAGCAUCUCUCACAUACUGAAGAAGGGGAAUUCCGUGAGCCUGAAAGAUUGACACCUAAGGUUUUGCACAUGAUAUGCCCAAUAUGGCCUCGGUAAACCAACAUUAUUUGUCUAAGCUGGAAUGAUAUGAAAUACUGGUACUACAAAUCAUCCGGGAAACAGUAUUAUGCUUGUUGAAAAGAUUCGCAAAGCCGCGGACAUUACAUACCCAUGUUCAGAGGCCAUGGUACUCUGCUCAUGCUGAAAUAGCUGCGGAUAAAAUACAUUGUAUAUGUACAGUAGAAUAUAUAUGUCUUUUAUUGGAGAGUA